rnacentral:rRNA from 1 species
AACGAACGCUGGCGGCAUGCCUCAUACAUGCAAGUCGAACGCAGGCUUCGGCCUGAGUGGCGCACGGGUGAGUAGCGCGUGGGAACCUACCCUUUUGUGGGGGAUAACCGAGGGAAACUUCGGCUAAUACCGCAUACGCCGGGAAACCGGGAAAGAUUUAUCGCAGAAGGAUGGGCCCGCGUCGGAUUAGCUAGUUGGUGGGGUAACGGCCCACCAAGGCUUCGAUCCGUAGCUGGUCUGAGAGGAUGAUCAGCCACACUGGGACUGAGACACGGCCCAGACUCCUACGGGAGGCAGCAGUAGGGAAUAUUGGACAAUGGGCGAAAGCCUGAUCCAGCAAUGCCGCGUGAGUGAGGAAGGCCUUAGGGUUGUAAAGCUCUUUCGGCGGGGACGAUGAUGACGGUACCCGCAGAAGAAGCCCCGGCUAACUUCGUGCCAGCCGCCGCCGUAAAAC